rnacentral:rRNA from 1 species
AUUGAACGCUGGCGGCAUGCCUUACACAUGCAAGUCGAACGGUAGCACGGGGCAACCUGGUGGCGAGUGGCGAACGGGUGAGUAAUGCAUCGGAACGUGCCAUUGAGUGGGGGAUAACGUAGCGAAAGUUGCGCUAAUACCGCAUAUUCUGUGAGCAGGAAAGCAGGGGACCGCAAGGCCUUGCGCUCUUUGAGCGGCCGAUGUCAGAUUAGCUAGUUGGUGAGGUAACGGCUUACCAAGGCGACGAUCUGUAGCGGGUCUGAGAGGAUGAUCCGCCACACUGGAACUGAGACACGGUCCAGACUCCUACGGGAGGCAGCAGUGGGGAAUUUUGGACAAUGGGCGCAAGCCUGAUCCAGCCAUGCCGCGUGAGUGAAGAAGGCCUCGGUUGUAAGACGUCUUCGUGGAGAAGUAGCAUGGCGUAAGUACCCUACGUGUAG